UGGGGAAUAUUGCACAAUGGGGGAAACCCUGAUGCAGCGACGCCGCGUGAGUGAAGAAGUAUUUCGGUAUGUAAAGCUCUAUCAGCAGGGAAGAAAAUGACGGUACCUGACUAAGAAGCCCCGGCUAACUACGUGCCAGCAGCCGCGGUAAUACGUAGGGGGCAAGCGUUAUCCGGAUUUACUGGGUGUAAAGGGAGCGUAGGUGGCAAAUCAAGUCAGAUGUGAAAGCCCGGGGCUCAACCCCGGGACUGCAUUUGAAACUGACUUGCUAGAGUGCAGGAGAGGUAAGUGGAAUUCCUAGUGUAGCGGUGAAAUGCGUAGAUAUUAGGAGGAACACCAGUGGCGAAGGCGGCUUACUGGACUGUGACUGACACUGAGGCUCGAAAGCGUGGGGAGCAAACAGG
rnacentral:rRNA from 1 species